GAAGAUUAAAUUUUGCCCCUUGUUUGUAUUGGAUUAUUUAAAUAGUAAAUUACAGUCCUCUGGUAGCUCUAGCCUGAGCUUUGUUCAGAACAAUAAUUAUAUUAGAACUUAGUUGCAUAUUUCCUAUAAUAUAAAAUACAUUGGACUAGAGUUGACUUUAAUGAAAUGAUGACUAAUUUUGAACUGAAAAUAUUUAUAACUAAUAAACAAACUGAUACAAGUUGCUAAACACACAUGUUCCACACGUGUGGAAAAUAGCAACUGAUUCGCCACAUCACCCCCCCUCCGGGCAGACGAUUUCUCCAACUUAAAUUUUAAAGUUGACUCUAUUUGGCACACUAUCUGGUCCUGGAACAGGUUGGCAAAAAACGUGGCUGCAUGUGGACAGUUCUUUGAAUACGAAAACGCCUGGUUGACCAUGUCUUGUUGAUGGAAUUGGGGGUAAGUGAGACAUGAAUUCUCUUAAGCUUGAAAUAAAGCUGUUGGAAAUGUCAAGGUUAUCGUUUUGUGGGUUUGAAGAGAGCAGCUCAUAAGGUAAACGAAAAGUCUCUCUAUAGGAGAUGUAGUAGCCUUGGAGUGAAGCAUCGGGGUCGAGGUUUCCCUGUAGAUACAUCACAGAGCACAGUAAGUGGUGAUCCAGGAAUGGGUACACGUUCCUAUGAAAGAGAAGAAUUCUCUGGUGUUAUCUCCUGAAGUUCUUCAUUAACUCCUUGAGAUCUGACCAUUAACUCAUAAUAUUGCUUCAACUGCUCAAUACGUGAAAGUGUAUCAGCAAGAAUGUUUUGGGUACCUUCGACUUAUUGUAUAUCCGUUAAAAACUCCGAGAUGAAAGAUGAUUGGUUGAGUUGAAUUGGUGAAAGUUUUUACGGGUCUAUUCGAAAGCAUAGAUUGAGGCUUGUGGCCUGUGUAGAUAGUGAAGCGAUGUCCUUCUAAGAGGUGGCGAAAAUGCUGUACCGCUACAUAAACAGCAAGUAGCUCGCGAUAGUAUACUGGCCAGAUGCUGUAAUUGUGAAUUGUAAACUGUUAACGUCGAGCAGAAAUUUGUUUAGACAUCGAUUUUUGGACGUACAUUUGUUUGCCGUCCGUAUAAUUUCUACGAGAUUGAAUGGAACUUGACAAAAACAUGAUACACACAUCAUAUCGCACUAUGAGAUCAUUAGUGUAGUAACUCAAAAAUUGUCAAUUUCGAGUUUUUGGCAUUUUUGAAAACUAUAUAUGAUACUCUAUCUAUUCCAUUGAAAAAAAUCUAGAAAUUUCAAAUUUCAAAUUUGUGUCAAGUCAUUAUUGUAUCAUUUUGAGUUACCGUAGUAGUGCACCAAGUGCAGAUGAUUCAAGAGAGCGCUAGUGUAUCUUUUCGAGUUACCACACUAAUGAUUUGUUGUCUGAUAUAAUAAUUUUCAGUUACCACAGCUGCUGAUUAUGUUCCAUUUCUGUUUUGACUUUCGGUAAACGUGUUGAUUCGAGGUUAGGCUUUUGUAAAUAUUCUAAUCUUUUAAAACUUGAAGUAAAAUAAACAAAAACGGUUUCAGCAAUAACAAAGUGACUAUGAAACAAUGUAUCAUCCAGCAAUAAGUGAUCGUAUAAAAUUAAUAUACAAUUAAGUAUCAUCAACUUUGAAUAAAAACAAGCAUGGUGAACAUGAUGAAUCUGCUUCUCCUGGAUCAUCAAAAAAGUUAGAAGAUUUACAGAUUCAAGGAUUGUUGACUGAUUGCUACAAAACUGCUACAUUCGCUAAUCUUGAUGAUGUUCCCAUUAUCAACGUGCCUUCAUUGGAAGUUGAAAAAUACAAGAUUACCAAUCAACUGAAUCAGCAAU
rnacentral:lncRNA from 1 species